rnacentral:snRNA from 1 species
CGAUACGGUUUUGGUCACCAUUC